rnacentral:lncRNA from 11 species
AACAGCCAGCUCCCUGCUGUCACACCUUGGUGCAAUGAGGAAAAGCAAAAGGAGUGGAGCGGGCUGGCUCCAUCAAUCUGAAGCAUCUCACUCAUCUGAACUAAAUAACUCCAUCAUAAAAACUGUUUUCCUGAGUUUAAGCCAGAACCAAAGUGGUAACUGCCACCCAAGGACCUUUACCUCAGCCACCCAAGAUUGUAGAAUGACCUGCUCGAAGAACUCUGACAGCUAAAGGAGCUGUCAGCAUUCAAGACUGGAGUGAAGAUCUAUCUCUUCUGACAGGCCUACCCAGUCAGUUUUAAAC